GUACUCUCACACUCUCCGAUCCUUUGGAUUUGGGGAGCGGUGGACCUGGGUGCUUGCUGCUUUUGCUGUGGCUCACCUCAAAUGUGUCAGUGCAUCUCUUGAUUGGACAUAGUACGGCGUGAUAAGUGUCUUCGCCGGCACCUCGCAAGAGGGUGGCCCGAUCGAGAGCUCUGUGCUUUCAAACCGUCUUCGGACACUGUCUGACA
rnacentral:misc_RNA from 1 species